rnacentral:sRNA from 1 species
GAGAAAACCAGCCCAUUGAAAAUAUCCUGCCAAGUCAUUCGGGGAUUUGUGGCAGAAACUCCAGUCUUGUGUCUGGACAUGGACCAUUUCUGGGGAAAACUGAGACCUUUGCUAAAAGGAAGAGGGGAAAGCGGGGGCGCACAUAUCCAGUGAUAUUUUCUCAUCUGGUACUUUGUAGAAACCUUGCUCCCAGUAUGUACCUAAUUAAGGCUCCACAGCCCUACGAGGCCCCAAGAGAGAGUGGUUACAUCAGUGCAGUCCUCAGCAGAACCGAGGAAAGAGCUUCAUCGUCCAAAACUGAGGAAAUGCCCAGAUUAACACAGAAUAGUAAACAAGGGAUCUUUCAAUUAUGGAAUUGUCCUCUUAAUGAAGGAAGUACCAUAGAGAAGAGGUCACCAUAGUGACAGCUAAUCAACAUGAUCCUUUCAUUUCUCAACUCGUCUUAAGAUAAAGCAAAGGAUGGCAUAAGACAGGCAAUAGAG